CCUGGCUCAGGACGAACGCUGGCGGCGUGCCUAAUACAUGCAAGUAGAACGCUGAAGAGAGGAGCUUGCUCUUCUUGGAAGAGUUGCGAACGGGUGAGUAACGCGUAGGUAACCUGCCUUGUAGCGGGGGAUAACUAUUGGAAACGAUAGCUAAUACCGCAUAACAAUGGGUGACCCAUGUCAUUCAUUUGAAAGGGGCAAAUGCUCCACUACAAGAUGGACCUGCGUUGUAUUAGCUAGUAGGUGAGGUAACGGCUCACCUAGGCGACGAUACAUAGCCGACCUGAGAGGGUGAUCGGCCACACUGGGACUGAGACACGGCCCAGACUCCUACGGGAGGCAGCAGUAGGGAAUCUUCGGCAAUGGGGGCAACCCUGACCGAGCAACGCCGCGUGAGUGAAGAAGGUUUUCGGAUCGUAAAGCUCUGUUGUAAGUCAAGAACGAGUGUGAGAGUGGAAAGUUCACACUGUGACGGUAGCUUACCAGAAAGGGACGGCUAACUACGUGCCAGCAGCCGCGGUAAUACGUAGGUCCCGAGCGUUGUCCGGAUUUAUUGGGCGUAAAGCGAGCGCAGGCG
rnacentral:rRNA from 1 species